rnacentral:rRNA from 1 species
CCUACGGGUGGCAGCAGUGAGGAAUAUUGGUCAAUGGGCGCGAGCCUGAACCAGCCAAGUAGCGUGAAGGAUGACUGCCCUACGGGUCGUAAACUUCUUUUAUAAAGGAAUAAAGUGAGGCACGUGUGCCUUUUUGUAUGUACUUUAUGAAUAAGGAUCGGCUAACUCCGUGCCAGCAGCCGCGGUAAUACGGAGGAUCCGAGCGUUAUCCGGAUUUAUUGGGUUUAAAGGGAGCGUAGAUGGGUGUUUAAGUCAGUUGUGAAAGUUUGCGGCUCAACCGUAAAAUUGCAUUUGAUACUGGGUGUCGUGAGGGCAGUAGAGGGAGGUGGAA